GAUGAACGCUGGCGGCGUGCCUAAUACAUGCAAGUCGAGCGAACAGACGAGGAGCUUGCUCCUCUGACGUUAGCGGCGGACGGGUGAGUAACACGUGGAUAACCUACCUAUAAGACUGGGAUAACUUCGGGAAACCGGAGCUAAUACCGGAUAAUAUAUUGAACCGCAUGGUUCAAUAGUGAAAGACGGUUUUGCUGUCACUUAUAGAUGGAUCCGCGCCGCAUUAGCUAGUUGGUAAGGUAACGGCUUACCAAGGCGACGAUGCGUAGCCGACCUGAGAGGGUGAUCGGCCACACUGGAACGGAGCAAGGGUCCAGACUCCUACGGGAGGCAGCCGUAGGGAAUCUUCCGGAAUGGGCGAAAGACUGACGGAGCAAAGCCGCGUGAGUGAUGAAGGUAUUCGGAUCGUAAAACUCUGUUAUGAGGGAAGAACAAAUGUGUAAGUAACUAUGCACGUCUUGACGGUACCUAAUCAGAAAGCAACGGCUAACUACGUG
rnacentral:rRNA from 1 species